rnacentral:rRNA from 1 species
GAUGAACGCUGGCGGCGUGCCUAAUACAUGCAAGUCGAGCGAACGGACGAGAAGCUUGCUUCUCUGAUGUUAGCGGCGGACGGGUGAGUAACACGUGUAUAACCUACCUAUAAGACUGGGAUAACUUCGGGAAACCGGAGCUAAUACCGGAUAAUAUUUUGAACCGCAUGGGUCAAAAGUGAAAUACGGUCUUGCUGUCACUUAUAGAUGGAUCCGCGCUGCAUUAGCUAGUUGGUAAGGUAACGGGUUACCAAGGCAACGAUGCAUAGCCGACCUGAGAGGGUGAUCGGCCACACUGGAGCUGAGACGCGGUCCAGACUCCUACGGGAGGCAGCAGUAGGGAAUCGUCCGCAAUGGGCGAGAGCCUGACGGAGCAACGCCGCGUGAGUGAUGACGGUCUUCGGAUCGUAAAACUCUGUUAUUAGGGAAGAACAUACGUGUAAGUAACUGUGCACAUCUUGACGGUACCUAAUCAGAAAGCCACGGCUAACUACGUG